rnacentral:rRNA from 1 species
AGAUUGAACGCUGGCGGCAGGCCUAACACAUGCAAGUCGAGCGGUAGAGAGGUGCUUGCAUCUCUUGAGAGCGGCGGACGGGUGAGUAAUGCCUAGGAAUCUGCCUAGUGGUGGGGGAUAACGUUCGGAAACGGACGCUAAUACCGCAUACGUCCUACGGGAGAAAGCGGGGGACCUUCGGGCCUCGCGCCAUUAGAUGAGCCUAGGUCGGAUUAGCUAGUUGGUGAGGUAAUGGCUCACCAAGGCGACGAUCCGUAACUGGUCUGAGAGGAUGAUCAGUCACACUGGAACUGAGCACGGUCCAGACUCCUACGGGAGGCAGCAGUGGGAAUAUUGGACAAUGGGCGAAAGCCUGAUCCAGCCAUGCCGCGUGUGUGAAGAAGGUCUCGGAUUGUAAAGCAACUUUAAGUUGGAGAAGGUUGUAACCUAAUACGUUGCAACUUUGACGUUACGACAGAAUAAGCACCGGCUAACUCGUGACCAGCAGCCGA